GACGAACGCUGGCGGCGUGCUUAACACAUGCAAGUCGAACGGAAAGGCCCUGCUUUUGUGGGGUGAUCGAGUGGCGAUCGGGUGAGUAACACGUGUGUAACCUGCCCUUGUCUUUGGGAUAACUUAAGGAAACUGGGGCUACUAUCGGACCGGAGAUCCUGCUGCAUGGUGGGGGUUGGAACGUUUCGGCGGUUGGGGAUGGAUUCGCGGGUUAUCAGCUAGCUGGUGGGGUAGUGGCUUACCAAGGCUUUGACGGGUCGCCGGCCUGAGAGGGGGACCGGGCACCAGAGGACUGAGGGACGGCCCAGAGGGCUAUAGGGGGCAACGGGCGGGAGUAUUGCACAAUGAGCGGGAGCCGGAGGCAGCAACGCCGCGGGCGGGAUGACGGCCUGCGGGGUGUAAACCGCAGUCGGCUGUGACGAAGCAUUAGUGACGGUAAUGGGUGAAGAAGCACCGGCUAACUACGUG
rnacentral:rRNA from 1 species